GUCGCUACUACCGAUUGAAUGGUUUAGUGAGAUCUCUGGAGCGACGCCUGAACAGCUGCAAGGCUAUUUAGGUGAUGCGAAAUUGCUCAAACUUGAUCAUUUAGAGGAAGUAA
rnacentral:rRNA from 1 species